CCCGCCGCCCCUGCUCCCGGCGCGGCGCGAGGGGCCUGGUCCUCGUUGGGCCGCGCGACCCCUGCCGUGUCAGAGGUCGACUGAAUGUUUACAUAUUAAUAAAGGCCAACAUUUAUCGAGUGCUUAACUACUUUUCAGGCACUGUUCUGAGUGCUUUCCUGCAAGAAAAUGUGACAUCCUCCCUCACCACAACUCUUCCAGAUGAGGAAACUGAAGCUUAGAAAAAACAAGUAACACACCCCAUAUCAUUAGCUACUAAGCAGCAGGACGAAGCUUUGAAAACAUUCCUUCCAGAAUAAGAAAUAAAAGAAAAAUGCACAUCAUUUGGAAGAGUCAGAGAAGUCUCUGAAAAUAACCAGUUGCAGAAUUCAAAAGAAAUUUCCAGAAAACAUCUUCGAUGGGCUGUAAGAAGACAUGGCCAGUGAACUGGAAAGAGAAGCCAUAAAGAUAGUUGAGAUGAAAUUUUAACAGAAUAAAAGAAAAAUAUAAUGAAAUGAGACAAAGGGAACCAGAAUAAAUCAUGUAAGUUCUUAUUUCCAUUUGUACCCAUUUUAGACUGUCUGUUCACCUGCCCUCAUUCUGUCUGUCCCGGUGCCAGUGCCACAGCCUUUGUUGUAACGUUGUGAUGUAUCAACAUCCGGUGGGACAAGACCGUCUUCAUUAUUCCUCAAUGUGCAUUUAUGAUUUAGGAAAAAAAAAUCUCUCAGAAAAAUACAAUAAAGGGGAACUUCCUUAUUCAGAUAAAGGGUACCUAGCAAAAAAAAAAAAAAAAACCUGCAACAAACAUCACAUUUAAUGAUAAAAAUUUGGAAGCUUGCCCUUUAAAGUUAUGAACAAGACAAGGAUGCCAGGUAUCCGUGCUUCUAUUCACUAUUGUUCUAGAGGUCCUGCCCAGUAAGAUAAAGAGAGAGCUAAAAGAGAAAAGGAUUUGAAAAGCAAAGCAAAGCUGGCACCAGACGCGAUGAUUGAAAGCACAGGCACUUGGAGGGACUCUACAGAUGCACUAUUAAGACUAACCCGUGUGCUCAUCAGUUUUCCUGGGGAUGAGGUCGAAGUACCAAAGCCAGUUAGGUUCCUAGGCAAUUAGGAAACAUGCCUUUUUAAAAGCUUCCAUUUACAAUAACAACAUAAACUAUAAUAUACCCUUAGGGCUGAAGGGGGCCAGUUAAUUAGAGCCUUACCUCUCCCCACACCUGAACUUGGAAACAACGGAAAGAUGGACAGAGAAGUCAGGAAGAGGGACAUUCGGGGGAGGGUAUAGCCCAGUGGUAGAGCGCAUGCUUAGCAUGCAUGAGGUCCCGAGUUCAAUUCCCCAGUACCUCUAUUAAAAUAAAUAAAUAAAUAAAUUUAAUUAUCUCCCCCACUAAAAAAAAAAAAAAAAAAAGUGGGGGGACAUCAAAACAUCACAGAGACCCACAUGGAAGCAAGGGAUUGGGACUUGGGAAUAUCAAGGGAAAGAGAUUUCCAGUAGAGGGGACUGAAAGUGCCAAGUGUCCUAGGUGGGAGCAGGUCUGGCGAGCUGGAGGAAUAGGAAGGAGGCUGAAGUGGCAGGAGGAGGGGAGAGAGCAGGGAAGCGGUAAAGGUCAGGGAGGGCAGCUGCCGUCGGGGGGAGCCAGGGGUGCCACUGAUCAAUCAAUCGAUUGUGUAGGGCCUUAUAUGCUUGGUAGAGGAAGGUGAUAGAAGAGAAGCCUUUACAUAAGGCUUUUAAGGAAGGAAAUGCCAUGGCCACACAUUCAUCCUAACAGGCCCCUUCCAUCUGCUGUGAAGAGGGUGGACUGUAAGGGUGGGAAAGGGAUGCAGGGGCUCCGUGAGGUGCCGCUGAUGUAAUGCAGGAGAGAGAUGGCCAUGGCUACAUCUGGAUGGUAGACAUGGAGACAGUAAGAUGUUGUUGUAUCAAGCAAACAUUAAAUGAUAAUUAAUAUAGAUAAUUAACUUAAACUGGCAUAAGUGCUAAAACAAAAAAAGGAAAAAGUUAAAAUGCUAAAAGUCAAACAUAUUAGAAAAAAAAAUUUUGUGAUUAUAUGUUAAAGAAUGAUUAGCCUAGGAUAUAAAGAACUCCUUAUAUCUGAUAGGAAAACAAAGUCCAUAAUAAAGUGUCUACUCUGCUGGUCUUUGUGAGCGAACUGAUUGAUAUUUGUUCACAAACUUCAGAACAGAUUCUGAACAAGUAUGUUGACUUUUGAAAAUCCAGUGACAUCCAAAGAGAAAAGAGAAACUUUUCAAACUGGACUGAAUUCAUUCACUGGACAGAAAGGGUCACACUUUAUUUCAGAGACUCAGAACAGUUCCAAAUACUUAUGAGUUAAAAAACACAAUAGCAUAUUUUAAUUUAAUCUAGAUGAUGUAAACUGAAUUUUCAUCUAGCUCUUACUGUUAUUUUUGAAACAUUCCCAAUAGAAAUUGGUGCAGCCACUGAGAAAAACUAUGGAGCUUCCUCAAAAAAUUAAAAAUAGAACUACCACAAGAUCUAGCAAUUUUACUGCUGGCUAUUUUUCUGAAGAAAACAAAAACAACUAAUUGAAAAAGAUGUAUGCACCUUUAGGUUCAUUGUAUCAACCCAAGUGUCCAUUAGCAGAUGAAUGGAUAAAGAAGAUGUGGUAUAUAUACAAUGGAAUACUACUUAGCCAUAAAAAUGAUGAAAUAAUGCCAUUUGUAGCAACAUGAAUGAACCUAGAGAUUAUUAUACUAGUGAAGUAAGUCAGACAGACAAAGACAAAUAUGAUAUGAUACCACGUAUAUGUGGAAUCUUUUAAAAUGGAAUACUAUUCAACCAUAAAAAAGAAUGAAGUCUUGUCAUUUUCCACAACACGGAUAGACCUAGAGGGUAUGAUGCUAAGUGAAAUAAGUCAGACAGAGAAAGACAAUUACUGUAUGAUUUCAGUUAUAUGUAGAAUCUAAAAAAACAAAUGAACAAACAUAAAAAAGAAACAGACUCGUAGAUACAGAGAACAAACUGGUGGGAGGGAUGAGUGAAAUAGGUGAGGGAGAGUAAGACAUACAGACUUCCAGUUAUAAAAUAAAUGAGUCACAGGAAUGUAAUGAACAGUACAGGGAAGACAGUCAAUAAUAUAACUUUGUAUGAUGACACAUAAUAACUAGACUUCUGAUGAUUUUGUAAUGUAUAAAAACAGUGUAUCACUAUGUUGUACACCUGAAACUAAUAUAAUAUGGUAAAUCAGUUGUAAUUCAAUUUAAAAAAUUCCCAGUGGAAUAUUACACAUGUAAAAAUCUAGAAAACUGAGAGGAAAGGUGAGCCGGUGUUGCAGGGCCCAUCCAGGAGCAGUAGUUCCUGCCAGCAGGACAGGCGGACACAGCCCUGCCCAGGGAAGGAGACAAGGGGGAAAAGAGGAGAAAUGACAGAACUCACGAGACAGCCACCCGGACGAGGCUGUAAACUCUGAGGAAACACCCCUAGGAGCUCCCAGAAGUCUCUUCAGAAGAUUUGCUGGAGGAUGUAUUGUUGUCUUUAUACAUUUCCCACCCGAACAAUGAUUAUUUUGAAAAGUAGAGUAAAACACCGCUGGAAGCAAAGGUCAUAUUUACAGAAGCUCAAGCUUGAAAACCAAACAAAGCAGAUUGCUUAUUCACCUCUAUUGACAACUCAAGGGUGUAAUUCAUACCUCCAUCCAAUAGCAUCUGCGGCAGCUGGUUACAAAAGCCUUCUUCACACUUAGAAAGUAGGCGUGCGGAAUCUGGUUAUAAGUCUAUGCACAGGUAGAGGGCCAUGAUUAAAUCUUCCUCUACCCUCUACAGCUCCCUUUACUGAGUAUAUGACCACUGUGGCAACCUAGCCCCGUGUUCUCAGUUUGUGUUGUGAAAAUUACAUUUUAGAAUAAAUAUAUAGUGCUUGGAGCACUGCUUCAGAAAAUCUUUAUGAUAAUUUAAAUCAGCUAUUGAGAAAAGAGGUGGCAGCUUGCAGAGUUUCCCUAAAAGAACACAGCGAAGACUAUAUAACGUACACAUAUAUGUUAUUUAUAAGCUAGUACAAAAGCUUUAUUGGUGAGGGAUUAAGGAGAAAUGGAAUUGUACAGUUUGAGCAUCAAGAAUGCGUCUCUUAAAGGGAAUAUUUUUACACCGUUGGUGGGAAUGUAAAUUGGUGCAGCUACUGUGGAAAACAGUAUGGAGAGUCCUUGAAAAACUAAAAAUAGAGUUACCAUAUGAUCCAGAAAAGAAACUCUAAUUUGAAAAGAUAUAUACACCCCAAUGUUACAAUAGCCAAGACAUAGAAGCAAUCUAAAUGUCCAUUGACAGAUCAACGGAUAAAUAAGUUGUGGUACAUAUAUACAAUGGAAUAUUACUCAGCCAUGAAAAAGAAUGAAAUCAUGCCAUUUGCAACAACAUGGAUGGACCUAGAGAUUAUCAUCAGUCAGAUUAUCAAGUCAGACAAAGACAAAAUCAUAUGAUAUCACUUAUAUGUGGAAUCUAAAAAAAAUGAUACAAAUGAACUUAUUUACAAAACAGAAAUAGACUCACAGACAUGAAAACAGUCUUACUGUUACCAAAGGGGAAGGUUGGCGGAGGGAUAAAUUAAGAGUUUGAGAUUAACUGAUACACACUACUAUAUGUAGAUAAUAUAUAGAUAAACAGCAAGGACCUACUGUAUAGCACAGGGAACUGUAUUCAAUGUCUUGUAAUAACCUAUAGUGGAAGAAGAAUAUAUCUGUAUAGAUAGACAGAUAACUGAAUCACUUUGCUGUACACCUGAAGCUAGCACAACAUUGCAGAUCAAUUAUACUCCAAUAAAAAAUAAAUAAAAUAAAGAAUGUGUCUUUUCUUACACCCUCUGGCAGAUCUGUUCUCAUCUUG